rnacentral:tRNA from 1 species
CGGGCUGUAGCAUAAUGGUAGUGUUCGCGCUUUGGGAGCGCGAGGCCUGGGUUCGAUUCCCAGCAGCCCGA